AUGUGUUGUGGCGAUGCUGACUGUACAGGCUGACAUGAUUUGUUCUCCCGAGAGAUACAAGGUGGCUGAGAACAUUUUUUCCUGUUGAUGCUGUUGCACUUGGUGACAAUAAUUACACGUUUGCAGUGUCAGGACCAGAAUUUAGUUGUGCCCUUUUACAGCAAGUGGUACUUCAGCUGUGAAGGCGAGGCGAUCCACCCUCUGACGCUUCGGCGUUCACCCUGGCUGCGUGCAGGAGCCUGGGUCAAGGCUCAGGUGCUCUCUGCACUGCUGCUCCCAGCGCGGCACGCAAACCCCUUGGAGCCAGAUUUCGGAGCAUGCCACCUGGGAGAGGUGCCACCCACCUCCGCUGUGGAUUGAAGUUAAGUACAAUCAGUCAGGGUGUGGUUCUGAUGCUUGUUAUCUCCUGUCCAGCUUGUACAGCUUAACAGAUGAGGAGAGCCAUCACUUAUUCUGCAGUAUCUGCAGAUUGCUAAAAGAAAAUAUAUCUCUUUAUUGCUUGUGUACACAGGAGAGUAAUCCUGCAUGGCUGGAGAAAGGGACCAGAGGACCACAUGGCUUUUUCCUUCUCUGACAGUAGAGGAAGAAAAUGUCUAAAAAGAAUCCAAAAUUACUCUAAAAGCUGAUUCGCACUCAGGUUGUUACAGCUUGAAACAGAUUUCUUCUGAGCGAAGUGUAAAGAGCCCUAAUACACAACGUGUGUGGUGGUGUAAUUAUUUUCAAAGCAGCAAAUGACUCCAAGUGUGUUUGUGCAGCGAGCGUUGAGGGCAGGGGCUGUAACUGCAGAGUACAGCCAGUCCCCGACACUGGGAUCAGAAAAUGUGAUAGCAAUUGCAAGUCAGUGCUGCAAUUUUCUUUCGCUUUACAAGUUUUAUGUUGGUAAUGUGAAGUAAUUAAUGAACCAGAGCAGUGCUGCAGAGGGGGAAUAAUUUUAAUGCUCUUUUUAAAUACGCUACUAAAUCAAUGGGGCAGUUUAAAAAGGAAUGAUAGCCUGGAGAUUAGGAAACUUAAUACAAGAAAUUAGGCAGGGUUUCGAGAGUGAUCGCAUCACGGGUAGGCAGGUACUUCAUGAUAUGCUGCGUGGGCAUUUGUAUGUUUGGCAUACACUGGCUGAGGCAGACCUUGCUGACUUUUUAGGCCUAACGAGUCAGACUCUGCAAUCUUGGUCAGAAAUGAAGAUCCCCAGGACUUGGAAAAGGCACUGAAAGAUUGUAAAGCACAAGGUACGCUCCUGCUUUCCACUGUGCAGGAGCAGUAUUUUUCCACUCCUGUCACAGGUCUUCUGACUACCAGCUACAUAAGCGAUGUCUACAUGGUCUUUUGAAGGCAGAUACGAGCUUACUCUGGCCACUGUCCAAGAGAACCAGAAGCCAUGUAGCUGCAGCUAAUGUGCUACAUGCCCAAAUUACUGUGGCCUGCUGAGAGGCAGGAUAUUAGCUUGGGCUUAGGGCUCUGGCCAGCUCAGACCACAAGUAAAGCAACAUUUCAUCUGCAUGCAGAAAAGCAUGUCGACAAGGAUAGCCAACUUGCAUAGGAUUUGUAAAGCCAUUUUUUAUUAUCAGUUAGGGCAGGUGAGCUGAUCCCAUGGAGAUCAGGCAGACACGAUUACUGUGCAUCCUGCCCCAAGCACAAAGAGCAACACCCCAGGGCUGGCCUGAGAGCCAGCCAGCUUCAGUGGCCAAGGAAAACUGCUCUGUGGGCUUGAUCCAAAUUCUGUGGGCCUCCGGUUGGCUAUCCCUGUUGUAGGCAUACCCAGAGUUCGGAUGACAAUGACUUGUUAUGGACAGAGAGGGUUUGAAUUCAGUCUUCGCUGGCUCUGAGAGUUUCUGCUGGAGCUGUAUAAUGUGACACCUGAUUGCCCACAUUGAGUUCUGAGCCAUGAAGGUGUACGCGCACAUGUAAUGUGUUUGUGCAGUCCAACUCUUAACUAAGAAGAAAGGCUGUCUCCAUUUUGGAUAGAUAUCUUUGCUGGUUUUUUCCUCCUAAAAUUUUUCAUUGUCUUAAUUUUGAAGACUACUUCGCUUAAAAAAUUUCACCAUGUAGUAUUAUUUAACGUUAAUGAAGGUAGCACUCUGUGUGUGUGUCUGUACAUCUAUGUGCGUAUGCACACAUGCUAUGUAUAAUACAAGAAAGCAGGUACGUUUAUAUGUAAGUACAUAUACAAAACUCAAUCUUGCUUAUCUUAGAAUAAGGAUCCACAGCAAAAAGUAAGAAUGCAGUAUACUGUGCACUAGGCAGUAUCAUGGUGCAGUGAAUCAGGGACUUUUUCUACCUUUCACUCAAAACAUCUAGCCCCCCUCUCUUGCUCUUAUGUUCCGCCAUCUGCAACAUUUCUGGAACAUUAAAGCAUUAUAAAAGCAGGAAUUUGAGUAACUGCCUCAGUUAUUGAGGGAUAGAACUACAAUUUGAACAGGAAGAAGCUUUAAUUAAAACAGACCAUCAGGUGAAAUCCUGGCCCUGUUGGGGUCAAGCGCACAACUCUGACUCUCCACACAGUCAGGAUUUUGCUCAGAUCUUGUAACACUUGCCUUUUUUGAAUUUGAGGCAUUAGUCCUAUAACAGAAUAGAUAAGCUAAAAAUAGAAAACAGUCUGACCUAAAAUAGUUUGACAUCCGUAUCAUAGUGCUUAUUGUCUGAGAAUACUUCUAAAUGACAUGUUGAUUAAUCCUGAACUGAGGAAAAUGUGAUUCAUUGGAAAGAACUGAGAUUGUACCAAUAAUUCAGUACCAGAAGCUACACAGACAUCGACUCAGUGUGCAAUGUUUCCAGUGAAACUUUAUUUGCAAGCUGUCAGAUUCAUCUGCCAUUUUCCCAGCUACUUUGGUUCACUUCUGAGUGGCCUGGAUGAAAUAUUCCAAUCCAGUUCAUGUGGGCUAUCAGCCACUUCACCAAAGCAACUUUUUUCCUCUGCCUUUUACUGAAAACAAAACAGUCACGUCAAGUCAGGUUGCUGUGAGCAGCUUUUAAGACACAUGUUGGUUGCACUUAGUGCACAGCUGGGGCUAAAGUGAAGCUCUGUAAGUGCCUGAGCUAUUUAGUUGGAAAUUACAGCUUGUGCAGGAACCUAAAUGUCAAGUUCCCCAGUCCCUCUCACAGCCAGAACUCUGACAACUCUCCUUUUCCCAUGACUCUUCUUCACUUUCCUACAGAUGUAACUGUGCUUUCCUUCAGAUAAAAUAAAUCAUAUAGGGGAAUGCCACAAUAAAAAGCAAAGCGAGCUGUCACCCAGGACUUCACAUGACACUUAGCCACAUUAACGAGUAAACAGAGCCCACAGGAAAGAUGCCUUUUGAAAUGCACUGUUUGUGUCAGCAGUGCUAAAACUAACGAACCAAAACAAUGAGGGGAAAAAAGGGAAUCAUCAGCUGCACCUAAAGCUAUAGGCUAUAAAGUCAGAUCGGUCAAGGAAAACUCAAAUAUGAGCAAAUCUUUGGGACAGUACAUAAAUUAUGUUUUCCAUAAGCAAUAAGACAGCGUAUACUCCCAGCCUUGUGAUGAGAGGAAAGUACUAAAAGAAAGAAUAAAUGUAAUCAUGUGAAGAGAAGGGAGCAGGAGUGAAUGUGUUUCUUAUUUUGGAACCUUCUCAUGGCAAACAAGCAAGACUCGAGCCAAAAUCUUCAGGACACAGAAGGAAGUUGGAACCGUUACACUGCCGCAUGGCUCACAAGCAAGCUGGCAUGAAGAACGGGAUCAGCUAUACAUUGUUUAGAAGGAGCACCACAGAGCAUGCAGUAUAACAUGCACCCCCGGGGCAUUUGGAGGCAAUGACUAUCAACAGUCAGUGGAACUGGUCCAAAUUUACAGCAGUGUAACUGCAUGAUAAUUUCACUCUUCAUGAUGAAGGAACAAAAACGUCCACCAGAAAAAAAGAAACAACUGGUGGUAGGGUAUAGAAAUGGUGCUGGGGAAAUGGCUUUGCUUUACUUGCUAUUGCUAGUUCCCUCAAUUCUGGCUCUUAUAGCAUGCACUCUAAAACUAGUUACUCUUCCAUUGAACCACUUUAAAAAUAAGAAUUGUCUGAAGGAAAGUUUCAGAUCACUAACAUGAUGAGAGGGAAACAGUAUUAGCUACAGUUCUUAUGUUCAUGGUUACUUCAUGAUGAUCCAAACAAAAUUGCUUGGUCUUGGAUUAACAAUAGCUGUGGUUUAGGUUUUCUUCCUUCAGUGAUCCCCAAAUUAUGCUUGCGUGCAUACUUUGGUACUAGAGGCAGAAUAAACAUCGACUCUGAUAGCUGAAUUUUUAAGGUUAAUAUUAAGGCUAAGUACAUAGCGUUUAUUUUCUUCUGAAGAAGGCAUGUAUGCUCUGGUUGAGGGGAAAGAUGAAAACUAUGUAUGUGAGAGCAAUGGCUGAUGGCUUAGUGUUCUGCAUGAUAAAAUAAAUAACUUCGAUUAACUUCAAGCUCCAGUACCUCAGAUGUUUGUUGUCACAGAGCAGCAGCUUGGCUGAUUGGCAGCUCUGGUUUAGUCGACAUGUGUUAACAGAAAUUGCUCAAUUUACAUCGAGUACUUCAAUCUGCUGUUUUAGAAGUUUCUGUCCCACAUAGACUAGCAUUUCAGCUUUUGAAUAAAUGGAGGACUUGUAAGGGUCAUUAAAGAAAUUGCUAAAGCUUCUGCAAAUGCUGUAGGCCGAUUGCUGACUGAGAUGCAUAGCCUGCACGUGUCACUGCAGAUACUUCCCACAUAAUGGUACUGAUUGAGAUUUUAAUCUGGACAAAGUGCUGGAGGCAACUUUCUUUCCAACACUCAAUUAUCCUGAUAAUAAUAUGCUUAUUUUUUUCCUGUCUUCAAAAUGUGUGGUCUGCUGCAACUGUACAAUGUGCAUACAGUGCUGUUUGGAGUGAGGGGGGGAAAAACCCCAGUGAACAAAAUUCACGUCUUGGCAAAGGGGCUGUAAGCACAUGUCCCAGAGCGUGGAGGACAAUGUACUUUUACCUUGGAUGGAUGAGCCAAGUAAGCACCAUGAGAAAGGGCCGUGUUUCUUCCCACAGGCUAUACGACGACAACUUACUGGUUCUCAACAGCCUCAUGGGAAUAAAUGAAGCGCAGCCUGCUGCUAGGACUGCAUAGCGUGUUGUAGGGGCAAGACUAUCAUUUUAUUGUGCGUAUGCAUCUUGUAUCCUCCCUAGUGGGAUGCUGAUCUAUAACAGAGUCUCACACGAGACAAAGAAUUCAGACUAGUUUCCCAUGGACAUUCUCCAUAAAAGAAUUUCUUAGAAGAGAUAACUCAAGACAGGAAAUGGGAACUAGGGGGGCAAAUUCCUUCAUUCGAUUCCAUCUCCCAUUGGUAAAGGAUUUCAGAAAUUGUCCCUAUAUGACUAAUCCCAACUAUGCUUCCCUAAUUUCAGUAACAGUUUCUAGAGAUGAAGGGUGAAGCUAUUUGAGAAAAUCAAGCUUUAUUUGCUUUUUAUUCAUUAUGGAUUAUUCUGCUAGAUUGGAUUACUAAUAACACUUCCUUUAUUAAAAUUUAUGAAACCUAGAUUUACUUUUCAGUAUCUAUAUCAUCUUCUGAUCCUUAAUACUUUUCAUCAAGCUCAAGGAAUGAAAACAAACUCAGCUGUUUCAUGUUUCUUCACAAUUGACUUUUACCAGGAUCACUUUAGCAUUGUUACAUACUUGUUAUUAAAUGGUGGCAGAGUGCACAUUUCUGAGGCAAAGCAGAAUAUUCAUUCCUACCUUCAGCAGUUUACAGCUGAAAACGAUAGAGUGUACCAAAUCUGCUGGGAAAGCCAGAGAAGGUAUUGCUGCUUUCACAGCAAUACUGUCCUUCUCUCUACAUUGUCUGCAGAGGUAGCUGUGAAUUUGGCUCACUGUCCUUGUUUAUAUGUCCAAUUGUAUUUGUUGCUUGAAGUGAAUGCACAUGCCCUAGGCACUGUACAGCAUUGGACAUAAGAUUUUUGGCUUUUUAUGGCUAGUUAAAAGUCUUUCCAUUUAUGUUAGAUUAAGCUGUAUUGGGUUUAGUUAAGCUAGUGUGGGGCAGCCACUUUUAUUCUGGACUAAGAGUGAUUUAUGUCAAUUUACCUUAAAUCCGUUCGUAAUUGACUUGCACUGAACUGAACUAACACCUCAUUUAUGCCCUCAAUUAUCCCAUUUUAACCAACAGCUCAGGCACGCUGUCCAGUUCCAGCAACUUAACGAGUUACUGCACAUCAGUUGAGGCACGGUAACUGCAGUGUGCCUUUCUUUACCCUGCAGCAAACAUGAGGUUCAAUGUGUCAGCUUAACCUCAGGGCCAAGAAAAAGAAAAAUCUAAACUGGUUUCUUCCAUCCGAGAUCACCACAGGCUAAGAGCAAACACACAUGGUCAAUUACCACGGCUCAGCUGAUGCAUGGUGGUGCAGUUUUGCAGGUUAAGUCUUUGAAUUAAUAAGAGACUUUCCAUUGGCUUCAUAGAGCAGUAUUUUAUGGAGAAGUUUGAAGACGCUUCAUUUUAGAGCCUAAUUUAAAGAUGAACUUGCAUCUUUCUUAAAAGCCAUUGAGAAAAGAAACCCCAAGACGAACAAGAAAAGAAACCCAACGAGCCCAAACUUUCAGUUUUCCUCCCAGAUAACACUAGUUUUCUUACUCCACCCUGUGGGAGAGCUAAGAAGAAAUUUGCUUCUUUCCAAUGAGGAACACAACAGGAUUUGCUAAAGUGAAACUAGAGAUACGAAAGUUCUAAACCCAGGAUGAGUCCAGACCAUUUCAAACUAUGACUGAGGGCAAGGAAAAACAGGAUCAAACAUGAAAACUUUGGAUGCUUUUCCUUUUUAUUCAACAAUUUCAACUCAAUCUCAGUUAAUCUUUCUCUACUUCCAUAUAAUGAAAGGAAAGAUAUUUCAUUAGGUUAUGAGAUCACGUGGACUGAUUCAACACAUGGCUUCAGGACCAGGCGUUAUUAUCUCAACUAACAUGGACAGAUUUUGAAUGCUGCUUUUCACUCUGCUAUCAGCCACCGCCACCUCUGCAGUAAUGUGACAGCAAGAGAAAAAGGAUGGGAAGGUGAUAAAGUUUGCCCACGCAACUAGAAAAGAACUUUCUGUCCAAAGCCAGCUGGCUUGGCUUGGAAAUGAAAUGGCAUUUUAGCGCGGGGUGACCUGUUUUACAUGUGUAUCAUAGCUCUGUGUUAAAACACUUGUCCUAGAUGCAACAGCAGGGUCUGUGGAGUAGUUUAUCAUCAAGUAACCAUAGCAAACAGGUGAGUUGUCUCAGUGCCAGUUUGUCUUCUAAACUGUUUGACAGAUAAGAAGCCAUCCUCAGAGAUUACAACAAAUGUGCUGCCGCAUUUCAUGGUUAGAACUGAGCAUAUUUUUAGUAAAGGGUUGAGAAAGUAUGCAAUAAUCCUAAAUCACAGCCAAGAAAACCAUAAACCCCUUAACAAAUGCCUGUUCAGAUACAGAACUCGGAAAAGUACACCAGUUGAUCCACGCUAACACUCUGGUUGAAUUUUUACGGCUUGUUUUCCAAAGCAAAGCAAACCUCUGACAGAGGAUCAAUGGCAUUUUUGCCUUUACCUGAAAGUGUCGGAGGGAGCAGGGAAGUUGAUGUCUGUUGUUUAUCCUGUGGGACACAGACCAGUUGUGCUACUGUACCCUCAACGAAAUCAAUGGAAAAUACACCAAUGACAUACUUGUGCUCAGGAGUCUGGACACCAUUAUAAAAGACCCAGAAUGCACCUUGUAAACUGCCCAAGUUUAAGAAUGAAACUUUAUUUCAUAAAUUAACUGCUUUAAAAGUUUAUUUGUUAUUUCUUGUACAUUAUAACAGAACAUGCAGAGCCAUUGUGGGCUCUGUAUAUGAAGCUUACAAGAUCAGGGCAAUAAAAUGUACCUUUUCGUAUGUGCAAUUUGAUCAGUGGAGUUUACAGUGAAGCAGAUAAAAUGCAGGAAAAAUAACGCUUACACUUACAUUUUAAGAGCAACGUUAGCUGAUUGCAGUGGGAGCUGAGGGUGCUCUGCACAAGUCAGGAGCAACUUACCUGGCUUUUAAGAGUUCCAGGAGUCUUUUGUCACUUGAAGAGGCCCCAUCAACUUCAAAUCUACUUUAAAAAGUAGUUCAAAGACUUUUCAGGUAUUAUGGUCUCCUAUAUCUAUUUCUGUUUCUUUUGUUUCCUAACAGCAUGGGAUACUGACCACACAUACUGCUGUCAAAUAUAGAAAUUAAACUUAUAGAAAAAAGGAUACAUUUUCUCUUUAAUCUCUUGGAAAAUUUUCCAGACUAAAGCAUAGUUCUUAAAUUGAUAAUAUCCCUUUAAGAAGUUAUUUGCCAGGUAAUGUUAGAAUAAAAAAGACUUUAAGGUCAGUUUGAACAUUAAAAGACCCCCUUUUAAAUCAAUUUUAAAUCUGUAUUAGAGAUGAUGGCAAGCAGUGUUUGAACAGGUCUCCAAAUAUAUCCUACACCUUAAAAAUGCAAGUAACUUUAAAAUCCUUUUAAGUGAUUUCUAGUUCUUUGGAAAAAGGGCAAGAUCUGUCCUAAGAAAUACUUUGUUGCAUAGAAAUAAUAAAAAUAGUUUAGUGUUGCAAUAUAUGACACUCAUAAUAUGUAUAAAGCUACUAAAUUAUUACCAGAUGAAGGCCUGCAGUUUUUGAAUAAUGUACUAAAUAUGAUUGGUUUUUUAGAGGGGUGAAAUAAUACAAUACCAUCCGAAGAGCGAAGUACAUUUUAAUAACGAAAAUAUCAAACAUAACUGUUUUUCUUUAGAUCUACUAAGCAAUCUGUGUGUUCUCUAUAAGAUGUCAAACUAUACUGUGCAUACGUACACUUUGCUCUCUCUAUAAAUAUACAUGUGCAUGACACAUUUCUAAAAGCAGUAAAUGAGUGCUGGGGAAAUACAGAAACAAUGAAGUUCCUAAGAGAGGCUUAUUUUUUCAAGUUAUUAAAAGAAGGUGGCAAGCAUUCAUGAGGAUAUGAAAAUUUAAAGCCGUCUGCAGGAAACUCUGAAAACCUCUGGUUAAGGCUGCUGCCAAAAAAUCUCAGCUAUGUUAUGUCAGAAUGUUUAAUUGCAAGCUGCAAUUUUAAUGAAUGGAAAGAUAUGGCAAAAGCAGGAAGUUUCUGAAGCAACAUAGAGCAACCAUGAAAAUAAAAUCCCAAAGGUUGUAAUCUUGAAUGCUGCUGGAAGCAGGAAUUUCCAUCCAUGCUCUGACUCCUUUUCCUACUGUGCAGAAUUUGCCAGCUGUCUGGCUAAGGAGAGGUAAGCUGUUCUGGAUAUCAUCUCCUGGGCUCAAGGCAGCACUUGUUAUGUCUAUCUGAAGAAGUCAACUUCUUUGCAUUUGUCAUUAUGGGUGUUUACAGAAAUGCAGCUUAGGAAUAAGGGGAGGAAAGGCAAAUGUCAGAGUGCAUUAAAUAACGUAUUUUCUUUACUUUCCAAGAAGCUUGCUCGCAGCAUGAUGUUACUAUUUAUAUCAGAUCUCUUAAACCCAGCUGUUGGUUCAUGUUAACAUGCAGAAUGGUGAGAAAAUCCCAGCAGAGGAGCGUGAAUCCCAGAGAGGCUUGUGUUCUGUCAUUGUGAGGGCCUAUAAAAUAUCACAAGUUUUGCUGAGGUAUGGAUCAGGCCUCAGUCAGCGAGGCAUGCAAUACAAAUAUUUCCCAUGUUGAUCCUCCAGUAUUAGAAGGCCAACGGCAAUGCAAAACAAAAAGUGCCGAAUGCUGCAACAGACAACUUCAGAUACCUUAGCUCAAACCCCUGACUGGAAAAGUUUGAAGGAGAACUUUUACCUGUAAUUCAAAACUAGAAAAUAUACUGUACGCCCACAUUACAGCAUUCUUAGACAAGCUGUGUCUGAUCUAAUCUUAUGUACCUUGGCCACAAGUUCUGGAAAAACAAAUAUUCCCAAGGCAAUCAGAUUACUGAAUGUACCAUAUAACGAUGUGGAAAUAUUAGUGGUUUACAGAGGGCAGUUUAUGAAAUGGAUUGAGUGAAUUUAAUUCAUACAUUGUCAGGCAAUUUGAACUUAACUAAAAUAAGGAAAUAUUUACUUGAUUAUAUCUGUCUUUAGUGGAACACCAGAGCCAAGUAGUAGUGUAACAGCAAUACUCCCAACCACAGGCAGGGGAGUUUGUUCCAAGCCAGCUUUCCGAGAGCGAAAGUCUGUGUGUGUCCUAAAGGGUCAUUAUGGGGUUAACAGGGUUACCCGAAGUGGUAAUGGAAAGGAACCAUUAUCUGCUCCUCUCCAAUUUCCUGCUCCCUAGGUGGGAGUCCCCCCUGCUCCUAUCCUUUGUUUCUAAUGAGUUCCCAUCCUGAAAUGCUGAGAGUACAAUUUGGUUUUGUUGCAAUAAGUAGUCCUUUACAAAAUCUUCAUUCAUAGAGUACUUCCACCAUUGUAAGCGAAACAAUGUUAGGAAUUAAUCUGGCCUGGGACUUGAAGAAACCUUGUUCUUAAAAGCUUGUUCUUAGGCCCUCCUUCCCUAUGAAAGAUAACUUAAUUGUUUGGCAAAUAUACAAAAGCUACAUAACAUCCCCUACUCCUCUUUUACCUAUAAUUUUUGAAGUCCAGCAUUUUGUUUUUAUACAAAGUUCAUCCUUAGAAGCAUGAGAUUAAGAAUUUUUCUCCAGGACGCAAGAUGAAAAAGUUGAUUUCUGGAUUAUAAGGAACAUUUGAAAGGAGGCCCGAGGAACAGCCAUGGUACACCUCUGGAGUGUUUUGUAAGAAGGUCCUAAAAUGUAAGUUAAAAGUUAGUGGAGAUAUGAUUUUGGUGGUAGUGCCUCCAAAAUACUUCGAAUGGUGGGUGGAAAUGCACUGGAAUAGAGAUGCAAGGGAAAGCUUUAUUGCCAUAACAACUGCUGGAUGAUGACUCCGUUCAACUGUGAGGCUAUUAAGUUAAAAUUAAGAAUACCGGUGUCUUUUUUCACCCUGUAUUUGCUAUUUCUCUGGGUUUAUUUCUCCAGGUUUAUUUCUCCUUGGAUAUGGUGGAAAUUACACUGCCUGCUAUUUGGCCAAGGGAAGAGAUUUUGGGUGGUUCUUUUCAGUCUCUGGGUUGUACAUAAGAUGGGCAGAAAUGCGUUCAGUGGUUGUUCUCUUCUAUGUCAAGAGUGAUGCUAGCAGAUGCUUAUGAUAAUUUUUCACUUGUCAUAUUGACACUGAAGUGUGAUGUUCUCUGUGGCUUUGUUAUGUUGCUGCUUCUACAGUCUUAUAAAGAUCAUAAUUUUUUUCUCUGUAGCGUGGAUUUUUCUUAAUCACCUACAGCUUUGCAUCCUUUGGUGCAUUUGGCCUUUGCAGUUGUCCUGGAAAUUAAAUGUAACACAGAACAUGGCCAUCAAGUCGUGCAGUGUUUUUAGUCAUUUUGAUAUGUAAAUUCUUGUAUGAUUUUCUUUUGUGUCACCCUGAGGGGUGGUAUCUUUCAUUUAUGCUAUUGUGACAUGUGAGAACAUCUGUGACCUCCCCGCCACCCAUUCUUUUUCACUAGCAGUCCCAAGAGGGGUCUGCAGAAGCAGAUGUAGCAGCACAUCAUCGCGUAUGGAAAACAACAUCUGUACUUUCAAUUGGAUGCCAUAUUUUGCACUUCCUUUUCUCAAUUGUUACAUAGGGCAGAGUUUCAAUAGAGGGAGGAAUGCAUUUCAGUGGGAAAGACGCUGCUCUAUACCCCUUAACUAUUGUUUGCAAGGCACAUAUAGAAAUCCCUUGAGCAACACAUGCUAUGCUUAUUCUUGUAGUGCCAUUGAAAAGGAUAGAUUAGAACCAAUUAUUUAUCUCUUUGGCUUCCUGCUCUAUUUUUGCCAGCUUAGAAUAAUAUGAUUACAUACUGAAAGUAAUUAAUGAGUAUAUCCAGAAGUCCUUGCUCAGGCCUUGCUUUGGUGUCUUACUCAGACUCCCACUGACUUUUAUAACUUAGAUAAAAUUCUGAACUCCUUAUUUAACAUCUUUUCAGUAUAUUGCUAUCAUGAGAGGAUUUCACGGUAUUAAUCAUUAGAUUCUAGUAAUAGACCUUAAAGAUAUUAUGGAUGAUAGGUAUAGUGAGGAAGAAGAGAAUAAACCAUACUCAUAUAAAAAUCAA